UAGUGAGUUUGAUCCUGGCUCAGGAUGAACGCUGGCGGCGUGCUUAACACAUGCAAGUCGAACGAUGAUCUCCAGCUUGCUGGGGGGAUUAGUGGCGAACGGGUGAGUAACACGUGAGUAACCUGCCCUUAACUCUGGGAUAAGCCUGGGAAACUGGGUCUAAUACCGGAUAUGACUCCUCAUCGCAUGGUGGGGGGUUGGAAAGCUUUAUUGUGGUUUUGGAUGGACUCGCGGCCUAUCAGCUUGUUGGUGAGGUAAUGGCUUACCAAGGCGACGACGGGUAGCCGGCCUGAGAGGGUGACCGGCCACGACUGGGGACUGAGACACGGCCCAGACUCUACGGGGAGCAGCAGUGGGGAAUAUUGCACAAUGGGCGCAAGCCUGAUGCAG
rnacentral:rRNA from 1 species